CAUGCCUGUUCGAGCGUCAUUUCAACCCUCAAGCCCUGCUUGGUGUUGGGCCCUGCCCGUUGCGGCCGGCCUAAGUCAGUGGCGGCGCGUCUGGCUCUAAGCGUAGUACAUCUCUCGCUCUAGGGCCCCGCGGUGGCUUGCCAGCAACCCCAACUCCUAUGGUUGACCUCGGAUCAGGUAGGGAUACCCGCUGAACUUAA
rnacentral:misc_RNA from 1 species